rnacentral:tRNA from 1 species
CGGGUGUAGCCUAAUGGUAGGGCGGGAGCCUUCCAAGCUCCUAGCGUGGGUUCGAUUCCCAUCACCC